AGGGAAAAGCUCAAAUUUGUAAUCUGGCGGUCUCUGGCCGUCCGAGUUGUAAUUUGGAGAGGCGUUUUCCGCGUUGGACCACGUACAAGUCCCCUGGAACGGGGCGUCGUAGAGGGUGAGAAUCCCGUUCACGACGUGGACUGCCAAUGCUAUGUGAUGCGCCCUCGAA
rnacentral:rRNA from 1 species